rnacentral:rRNA from 1 species
GAUGAACGCUGGCGGCGUGCCUAAUACAUGCAAGUCGAGCGAACAGACGAGGAGCUUGCUCCUCUGACGUUAUCGGCGGACGGGUGAGUAACACGUGGAUAACCUACCUAUAAGACUGGGAUAACUUCGGGAAACCGGAGCUAAUACCGGAUAAUAUAUUGACCCGCAUGGUUCAAUAGUGAAAGACGGUUUUGCUGUCACUUAUAGAUUGAUCCGCGCCGCAUUAGCUAGUUGGUAAGGUAACGGCUUACCAAGGCAACGAUGCGUAGCCGACCUGAACGGGAGAACGGACACACUGGAACUGAGACCCGGUCCAGACUCCUACGGGAGGCAGCAGUAGGGAAUCUUCCGCAAUGGGCGAAAGCCGGACGGAGCAACGCCGCGUGAGGGAUGAAGGUCUUCGGAUCGGAAAACUCUGUUAGUAGGGAAGAACAAAUGUGUAAGUAACUAUGCACGUCUUGACGGUACCUAAUCAGAAAGCCACGGCUAACUACGUG